AGCGUACACGGUGGAUGCCCUGGCAGUCAGAGGCGAUGAAGGACGUGCUAAUCUGCGAAAAGCGUCGGUAAGGUGAUAUGAACCGUUAUAACCGGCGAUGUCCGAAUGGGGAAACCCAGUGCAAUUCGUUGCACUAUCGUUAACUGAAUACAUAGGUUAACGAGGCGAACCGGGGGAACUGAAACAUCUAAGUACCCCGAGGAAAAGAAAUCAACCGAGAUUCCCCCAGUAGCGGCGAGCGAACGGGGAGCAGCCCAGAGUCUGAAUCAGCUUGUGUGUUAGUGGAACGGUCUGGAAAGUCCGACGGUACAGGGUGAUAGUCCCGUACACCAAAAUGCACAGGCUGUGAACUCGAAGAGUAGGGCGGGACACGUGGUAUCCUGUCUGAAUAUGGGGGGACCAUCCUCCAAGGCUAAAUACUCCUGACUGACCGAUAGUGAACCAGUACCGUGAGGGAAAGGCGAAAAGAACCCCGGCGAGGGGAGUGAAAAAGAACCUGAAACCGUGUACGUACAAGCAGUGGGAGCACCUUCGGGUGUGACUGCGUACCUUUUGUAUAAUGGGUCAGCGACUUAUAUUCUGUAGCAAGGUUAACCGUAUAGGGGAGCCGCAGGGAAACCGAGUCUUAACUGGGCGUUAAGUUGCAGGGUAUAGACCCGAAACCCGGUGAUCUAGCCAUGGGCAGGUUGAAGGUUGGGUAACACUAACUGGAGGACCGAACCGACUAAUGUUGAAAAAUUAGCGGAUGACUUGUGGCUGGGGGUGAAAGGCCAAUCAAACCGGGAGAUAGCUGGUUCUCCCCGAAAGCUAUUUAGGUAGCGCCUCGUGAACUCAUCUUCGGGGGUAGAGCACUGUUUCGGCUAGGGGGUCAUCCCGACUUACCAACCCGAUGCAAACUACGAAUACCGAAGAAUGUUAUCACGGGAGACACACGGCGGGUGCUAACGUCCGUCGUGAAGAGGGAAACAACCCAGACCGCCAGCUAAGGUCCCAAAGUCAUGGUUAAGUGGGAAACGAUGUGGGAAGGCACAGACAGCCAGGAUGUUGGCUUAGAAGCAGCCAUCAUUUAAAGAAAGCGUAAUAGCUCACUGGUCGAGUCGGCCUGCGCGGAAGAUGUAACGGGGCUAAACCAUGCACCGAAGCUGCGGCAGCGACACUAUGUGUUGUUGGGUAGGGGAGCGUUCUGUAAGCCUGCGAAGGUGUGCUGUGAGGCAUGCUGGAGGUAUCAGAAGUGCGAAUGCUGACAUAAGUAACGAUAAAGCGGGUGAAAAGCCCGCUCGCCGGAAGACCAAGGGUUCCUGUCCAACGUUAAUCGGGGCAGGGUGAGUCGACCCCUAAGGCGAGGCCGAAAGGCGUAGUCGAUGGGAAACAGGUUAAUAUUCCUGUACUUGGUGUUACUGCGAAGGGGGGACGGAGAAGGCUAUGUUAGCCGGGCGACGGUUGUCCCGGUUUAAGCAUGUAGGCUGAUUGUCCAGGCAAAUCCGGAUAAUCAAGGCUGAGGUGUGAUGACGAGGCACUACGGUGCUGAAGUAACAAAUGCCCUGCUUCCAGGAAAAGCCUCUAAGCAUCAGGUAACAUUAAAUCGUACCCCAAACCGACACAGGUGGUCAGGUAGAGAAUACCAAGGCGCUUGAGAGAACUCGGGUGAAGGAACUAGGCAAAAUGGUGCCGUAACUUCGGGAGAAGGCACGCUGGUGUGUAGGUGAAGUCCCUGCGGAUGGAGCUGAGACCAGUCGAAGAUACCAGCUGGCUGCAACUGUUUAUUAAAAACACAGCACUGUGCAAACACGAAAGUGGACGUAUACGGUGUGACGCCUGCCCGGUGCCGGAAGGUUAAUUGAUGGGGUUAUCCGUAAGGAGAAGCUCUUGAUCGAAGCCCCGGUAAACGGCGGCCGUAACUAUAACGGUCCUAAGGUAGCGAAAUUCCUUGUCGGGUAAGUUCCGACCUGCACGAAUGGCGUAAUGAUGGCCAGGCUGUCUCCACCCGAGACUCAGUGAAAUUGAACUCGCUGUGAAGAUGCAGUGUACCCGCGGCAAGACGGAAAGACCCCGUGAACCUUUACUAUAGCUUGACACUGAACAUUGAGCCUUGAUGUGUAGGAUAGGUGGGAGGCUUUGAAGCGUGGACGCCAGUCUGCGUGGAGCCAACCUUGAAAUACCACCCUUUAAUGUUUGAUGUUCUAACGUUGGCCCCUGACCGGGGUUGCGGACAGUGUCUGGUGGGUAGUUUGACUGGGGCGGUCUCCUCCCAAAGCGUAACGGAGGAGCACGAAGGUUAGCUAAUCCUGGUCGGACAUCAGGAGGUUAGUGCAAUGGCAUAAGCUAGCUUGACUGCGAGCGUGACGGCGCGAGCAGGUGCGAAAGCAGGUCAUAGUGAUCCGGUGGUUCUGAAUGGAAGGGCCAUCGCUCAACGGAUAAAAGGUACUCCGGGGAUAACAGGCUGAUACCGCCCAAGAGUUCAUAUCGACGGCGGUGUUUGGCACCUCGAUGUCGGCUCAUCACAUCCUGGGGCUGAAGUAGGUCCCAAGGGUAUGGCUGUUCGCCAUUUAAAGUGGUACGCGAGCUGGGUUUAGAACGUCGUGAGACAGUUCGGUCCCUAUCUGCCGUGGGCGCUGGAGAAUUGAGGGGGGCUGCUCCUAGUACGAGAGGACCGGAGUGGACGCAUCACUGGUGUUCGGGUUGUCAUGCCAAUGGCACUGCCCGGUAGCUAAAUGCGGAAGAGAUAAGUGCUGAAAGCAUCUAAGCACGAAACUUGCCCCGAGAUGAGUUCU
rnacentral:rRNA from 1 species